UAAAGCGUGCGCAGGCGGUUUUGUAAGACUGUCGUGAAAUCCCCGGGCUCAACCUGGGAAUGGCGAUGGUGACUGCAAGGCUAGAGUUUGGCAGAGGGGGUAGAAUUCCACGUGUAGCAGUGAAAUGCGUAGAUAUGUGGAGGAACACCGAUGGCGAAGGCAGCCCCCUGGGUCAAAACUGACGCUCAUGCACGAAAGCGUGGGGAGCAAACAGGAUUAGAUACCCGAGU
rnacentral:rRNA from 1 species